GGUCAAUGGCCCAUUGAAAUGUUUUAGCUUGUUUCAUGGAAGUUGUUGUUGAACUUCUGAAAGUCUAGGCUUUGGCUCAGUGGGCUAUAAAGACUUGUGGAGCACAGACAACCAGGGUUAAAACAUAUGACCACAUUCAGACAAGGGGGGCGAAGCCAAAGCCCACUGAGGUUGGAGAGCACUGUAGGAUCUGCAUAAUAAUCAUACCUCUUUUAUAAACAGGAUAUUAUUAUCAUUGAUUAUGUCAAAGUGUAUGUAUGAAUAAAUCUGAUUGAACUUUUUCAUGGCAGGUUCACCUUUUGAAGCCGGGUGAGGUUCCCACCAAGCUCAGUCCCAUCUCUAGACUCUUCUACAACGACAACGUGAUCCUAAAGAAGCAUGAAGACAUGGUGGUCAAGACCUGUGUAUACCUGUGGCAACCCAUCUAUUCUACAUCAUUUUAAUAAACUUCACUACCUUUGUUCCAAAAGAUAUACCUUUGCAACCAGCAGUUGAAAGCAAUAAUCUGGCAAUAUGCAGAUAAAUAGUAUGCAUCUACACUGUACAAAAUUUUUUACGCAACAUCCAACAAUUUCAACGAUAUUACUGAGUUAAAGUUCAUAUAAGGCAAUCAGUCAAUUCAAAUACAUUCUUUAGACCCUAAUCUAUGGAUUUCACAUGACUGUGAAUACAGAUGUGCCUCUGUUGGUCACAGAUACCUUUUUAAAUGAAGACAGGGGCGUGGAUUUGGGGCGGCGGGUAGCCUAGUGGUUAGUGUUGAGCCAGUAACCGAAAGAUGCUGGAUCCAAUCCCCGAGCUGACAAGGUAAAAAUCUGUCAUUCUGCCCCUGAACGUGACAGUUAACCCACUGUUUCCCGGGAAGGCCGUCAUUGUAAGUAAGGAUUUGUUCUUAACUGACUUGCCUAGUUAGAAAAAGGAUAACAAGCCUUCUACUGUGAUGGAGAAUGCCUAAAUCCUCUGGGUUCCUGCAUGAACACCACUAACCACGCUAUGAUCCAACUAGUGACGUUUUACCAGGCAGGGGCACACAAAGUACGUUCUAAGCAGUGCAGUACCACUCAGAGCAGUUUGGUCUCUACAAGGGUUCAUCGAGAUGGAAAUACAGGUGUGUGGCCGAAGUUAGGGUGUUUGAUCCACGUCACAUUGCAUUUAUGGAUGACCGAGUGUCCAGCUACAAGGCUAUUCCAGGCUUCAGUAAGGUACCAAGAGAUGAAUGCCUACUUGACCAAUGCAGGACCAGCAGCACUUAGAGCCACAGUGAGUGGGGUGGUGGAUUUGGAUAUCUUCUGGGAUGGACUUCAAGAGAGACUUCCUGUGCUGAGCACCCUGGCCAAACGCUACAAAGAUGCAGUCUCAAACUCAGCUGAUGCUGAGCGAAGCAACAGUAUCUAUAAGCUUGUGUUGUCCAGCCAUAGGCGGUCAACCUCUAACAAUCUACGAUCCUUGGUCUUCAUGUACCACAACCAACAACUCUGCAGUGGAGGAAUUGAUAUGGAGGAGGGUAGGGAAGAUGAAAUGGAGGAUUACAUUGAGAUAUAGGCCUAGAUGAGCUAUGAAAUAGUCACCAACCCUCCUCUAGUUAUGUUCAGAAAAAGAGCUGUGUUUGUUCAAAAAAAUAAACAGCCCAAAAGAUCACUUUGUCUUAAAUAUCACUUUUUUUCUUGGUAAAAUAGCCCUUACACAGCCUGGAGGUGUAAGUCUAAACCAGAUGGGAUGGCGUAUGGCUGCAGAAUGCUGUGGUAGCCAUGCUGGAUAAGUGUGCCUUGAAUUCUAAAUAAAUCACAGACAGUGUCACCAGCAAUGAUCCCUCACACCAUAACACCACCUCCUCCAUGGGAAAUACGAUAAUUUGUUCACCCACACCGCGUCUCACAAAGACACACCAGUUGGAACCAAAAAUGUCCAAUUUGGACUCCCGACCAAAGGACACAUUUCCACCGGUAUAAUAUUCAUUGCUCAUGUUUCUUGACCGAAGCAAGUCAGUUCUUGUUAUUGGUGUCUUUUAGUAGUGUUUUUUGUUGUUGCAGCAAUCGACCAUGAAGGCCAAGAGUGUGCAAAGCUGUCAUCAAGGCAAAGGGUGGCUAUUUAUAAGUAUAAAAUAUAUUUGGAUUUGUUUUACACUUUUUUGGUUACUAUAUGAUUCCAUAUGUGUUAUUUCAUAGUUUUGAUGCCUUCACUAUUAUUCUACAAUGUAAACAUUUGAAAAAUAAAGAAAAACCCUU
rnacentral:lncRNA from 1 species